CAGUCGUACCGAUGAGAAUUCAACUCUUCGAGUGCUAACUUGUGGACGUGCGUGAGCCUUAAAACCUCGCUGUUUGCAAUGUUUGUGCUUUUUGGGUGUACUUUUUCGUAUGGUAGGCCAACGUCAGUUUCGUUUACCAUAAAAUGAUCGUAGGAAUGUAGCUUCGAUCUCGUAUUGAAGUGUUAUAGCCCAUGGUAGAUGUGGUAAACGAAACUGAGGA
rnacentral:rRNA from 1 species